CAGGGAAAAUUAGCCAGAUGAAAAACUCAAAAUCCAAAAAACAUUUUUCUUUAAAAGGGAGGAAAUGUAAGAGGUUUGAGUAUUUUUACAUUUUCACUCUUAUUUUAUUAAAAUUAUUGUGAGUGAAAUUUUCAAAAAGUGUGCUUUUGGAUGGAAAAGAAUGAUAGCAAAUGUCUCAUAUUUUUUCUUAUUUUUUUCUUUUUUUUUCUGAAGGGUAUGUGCCUAUGAAAUUAGAAUUUUGUAGUAGAAAUAGCAGUGAAAGCAAUAAAGAAAAAUAUAAAAAUAUGAUGUUGCUUACAACCACUCUUCUGUACUUAGAUUAUGUAUAGUUUUGCCCUGAAGUAAUUCUGGCUAUUAUUUUUCACCCAUUUUUUUCCAACCAUAAUAUAGAAAUAGAUAUAGCAGACAGUAUGUCCUUCUGUUUAACGGGACAGGGUAUUCUCUUAAAUGAAUCACACUAUUGUCCUUUUGGAUGGCUUUUCUGAGGUCUCCUUCCGAUUUUUAAUGAAAGUGAAAUUUUUACAUCCCCUAAUAUCUAAUACUUGCUCUCAGAUUCCACGCUUAACACGCACAGGCCCCGAUCCUGUACAGGCUGAAAUGCAUUUCGUUACGUGUAAGCACACUGAGUGGCUCUGUUCCUUCUUGUGCUCUUGUGUUUCAGACUUAAGCUGAUAGUUGUAUUACACAAUCAUUAUUCUCAGUAUUACUUAGGACUGCACAAAACAUAAACCUAAUGCAACAGGCUCGAUUUACAUCUUCCACUUGCAUCUCUGGGACGUGAGUUAAAUCCUGCACAAUUAUAAUAAUCUGGGGGUCGGGACGGUUAAGUAUUUAACUUAGUAUCAGGAGAAGCAAGAAAGGCAGUCGCUCUAGUCUAAUAAUCCAUGCAGUACGAGGUGGGUAUUGCAUUCUCUGGCUGUAGCAUCUGGGAGAGGAUCAGCAGUGUUUCCUCAGUGACUAGUGAAGCCAAAAAGUCACAGCAGGAACACAGCUGAGGACAGAAGGGAGAGGAAAGGGAUUUUGAACCUCACCAAAAUGAUGUCAAUUCUUUAGGUCAGAUUUCCAUUCCAGAUAACUUGGGCUCAUCAGAAGGGUGGAAGUCUGAUCGGCUGUGGUAGCAGAUACGAGCAGAGCAGUUGCCAAGUGAUCUUCUCCGCAGCACCCACAGACUUCAGCCUUGAACUGAAGAGGACUCAUCAAAUGCCUUGGGAGAUACAGAAUGGAACUGGAAGAGAAGCAGGGGUCUACAUGAAGGACAGUCCACUGGAGUCUUGGUGUGUGGAGGAACGGGUCCUGUUCUCGCUGUUGUUACUCCCACAUAGGUGGACUCUGUAACUGAUUAUGUGUGGGUAGGGCCCUAAUUGAAAUUAAGGAGAUUCUGCAGUAGUGCAGGGUUCUGUUUGUGAAAGUUCAGUUGCAAGAUCAGGACCCUACUGUGACUUCUUACUGUGAAUUCUGUCACUGUAUCAUUGCUUGUGCUGGAACCUGCCUUUUGGGAUAAUGUAAGUCCUGCUUUUCCCCCAAAUGUACUUUAGACAUGAAAUAAUCAUAAAAACGUUCCUAAUUAGAAAAUAAAUAUCAUUUACAUGCAUUCUUUUAAUUAUGUUUUUUUGGCAGUACCAAAUAAUAUAUUCCUCAAAACUUCUUAAUGGCACUGAGGCUUUGUGGAUAGUUGGUCACAUGAUGAGAAAAUUCAGCUGCCCAUCAAGACUACUUCUACCUGAUACCUCUCCUUCAGUAUCAAGAGAUUGACUCUGAUUUUGAUCAACAUAUGAUACCAGCUUCCAUCAGUCGCUUGUUAAAUUUUCACACCACACUGGAUAUUUUCUCCUCAGCUGCCUCUCAUGUGUUGGUUGACUCCUUCAUAAACAGAAGUGUUUGCUCUCUUCCUUUAAGUAUCUUCUUAAAAGUUUUAUGCACUGUGAAGCUUAAAGCAAUCCAACCAGAAAGUAGUUAUCCUGUGCAGGUAUACUAAUGCCAACACUCAUCACAGUACUACUUUGUCAUUGCCUUUGUACUUUGCAAUAAUCUCUGUUGUCUCUUAACGUAGAAAUCAAGCACACUCUUUUUGUUGUAUGCAAUUCAUGGCCCAGCAUAAUGAGAAGUGGAUCCAGGGUGAGGCCUCCUAAGAUUUGUGGUAAUAGAAAUAAAUAAUAAUGAAUGCUCA